GGCUGGUCUAAUGGUAGUGGGUUAAAAGAAAUUAUCACUGUACGUUAAACUAACCUUUCUAUAUUCUACCCCACUGCUAACAUUGACUGGUCUUUU
ensembl:misc_RNA Y_RNA Y RNA